AAGCUGAGUGAGGCCAUGUCUGUUACCAGGAGACAUGAGACUCACAGCAGAUCUCUCUGGCUUAACAUGGGAGAUGGCGGCAUUGACCAACAUCUGUGGGACUAUAUUUGUGGUGUAACAAAGAUCCAAGAUAGCCAGAUUUCUAAGAAAGAAAUAUAUGGGGGUUUGGAGAUGUUUAUCCAGUAAUGGCAGCAGGAUAAGGACCAUAUUUCCCAUCAAAGAAAUUGCAUAGAAGAAAAAGACAACCCCAGAGAUGAUCAUCUCCAGCUGAGGCUUCCCAGGGAACCCAAGGAGCAUAAGCCAACCAAAAUGUUGGAAUUCCUGGAAAAUGUGGCGUUCUUAAUAGUCAUAAAAGUACUAAAUAUAUACUGCAAAAUGCUAGGUGUGUCUCUGAGAUUUAGGACAACUUCUGAAAGUACUGUCAUUAACGGAGAAGCUGGAAUAAAAAGAAAAGUCACUCCAGAAAAAAAAAAAAAAA
rnacentral:lncRNA from 1 species